GACGAACGCUGGCGGCGUGCCUAACACAUGCAAGUCAGGGAUUGGAAGGUAGCAAUACUUUUCAAGACCGGCGCACGGGUGAGUAACACGUAGGUAAUCUGCCCUCGGGCGGGGAACAACCUCGAGAAAUCGGAGCUAAUACCGCAUGAUGCAACGAGACCACAUGGUUUUGUUGUUAAAGAUCCGCAAGGAGUCACCGGAGGAUGAACCUCGCGUCCGAUUAGCUAGUUGGUGGAGUAAUAGCCCACCAAGGCGACGAUCGGUAGCCGACCUGAGAGGGUGAUCGGCCACACUGGGAACUGAGACACGGUCCGAGACUCCUACGGGAGGCAGCAGUGAGGAAUAUUGGUCAAUGGCCGAAAGGACUGAACCAGCAACGCCGCGUGAGGGAGUGAAGGUCUAAGGAUUGUAAACCUCU
rnacentral:rRNA from 1 species